UGCCAGACUCCUACGGGAGGCAGCAGUGGGGAAUAUUGGGCAAUGGGCGCAAGCCUGACCCAGCAACGCCGCGUGAAGGAAGAAGGCUUUCGGGUUGUAAACUUCUUUUAAGGGGGACGAACAAAUGACGGUACCCCUUGAAUAAGCCACGGCUAACUACGUGCCAGCAGCCGCGGUAAUACGUAGGUGGCAAGCGUUAUCCGGAUUUAUUGGGUGUAAAGGGCGUGUAGGCGGGAGCGCAAGUCAGAUGUGAAGACUCAGGGCUCAACCCUGAGCCUGCAUUUGAAACUGUGUUUCUUGAGUGCUGGAGAGGCAAUCGGAAUUCCGUGUGUAGCGGUGAAAUGCGUAGAUAUACGGAGGAACACCAGUGGCGAAGGCGGAUUGCUGGACAGUAACUGACGCUGAGGCGCGAAAGCGUGGGGAGCAAACAGGAUUAGAUACCCGAGUA
rnacentral:rRNA from 1 species